UGUCUGCCACUUUAAAUGAUCAAGCUUUUGAAAUGUGCAUUUUGAUUGGCUGUUUAAUGUUCAUCAGCUGGAAAAUAUAUUCCACUGAUGUUGUUCCUCUGUGUCAUUAAGUAUGGACUCAUCCUUGGUAUGAAGAGGUCUUUAAACUGCUUACAACAAUCCUGCUGCAUGUUAUAGUGUAGAAAAUAAUUGAGAAUAAUAUAGCUUGAAGAUACAGCUUUCUUCCCUCUCAUUUUGUUAAACUCAAACGCAAGAUUUUGCCUUUCUUUGCUUGUUUGUCUUCAUCUUAGUCCUUUACUCUCUCCACUCACUCACACAUUCUCUCUUGCUCUGUUGUAAGGUACAAACAGAGCGGAUGGUUGCAUGAUGGCCUCUUUCGGGUUUGUCAACAGAAUGUCUACUAGUGUGGCUCAGCAAGUUCCUGUCAUGAUCAGCCCUCUCCAAGAAAGCUGAAGAGCAAAAACACAAAGAACAUCAGUCCUGUUGGGGAUGAGGAAUGAACAUGGCUCUAUUGUGCCCAAACAGAAAAGAGUGAAAAGGUGCUCAUCCCCAUUGAUGUGUCUGUAUUCAAGCAAUGCAUUAGUACAGCAUAUGAUGUUGAUCUCUAUUCAAGUCAGCAAUUAUCAUUUUUCACAUAUACAUCUUUUUAUAAGUCCUAGAAUGAACAAAUCAUCAGGGCAUCAUUUCUGGAAUUUGGGCAGAAAAUGACUGAAUAUGAAAGACUGCAGUAGAAGGAAAGCUGGUACUGAGAACAUUUGUCUUCACUCCAGACUAAAGAGAAGCGGGUCUGAGGCCAGAGAUGGAGGAGUCAAUGGUCACCAAAUGCAGCGCUGCAGCCUGAAACUGUGAAGACUGAAAUCCCAAACAGCUGUGUGACUGCACAGAUGUUACGGCCAUAAAAGAAACUUCACAACUGAGAGCCCAUACCUCCAACAACCUUCAACAGGAAUCAAUGGACAUCUACGCAAGGUUUUUCUUUUGUUGAGGACCGUCAGAGACUCCAGCCACACGAGCCAUGGAUUGCUCUCAACAUCACCAUCAGACAGACAUUAUCACAGAACCAGCACCAGCAGACU